AAUCAACGCUGGCGGCGUGCCUAACACAUGCAAGUCGAACGCGAAAGGGGGCUUCGGCUCCUAAGUAGAGUGGCGUCCGGGUGAGUAACACGUAGGUAAUCUGCCUUCGGGUGGGGAAUAACCAGUCGAAAGAUUGGCUAAUACCGCACAAUGCAGCGGCACCUAAUGGUGAUUAGUUGUUAAAGCGGGGGAUCGUAAGACCUCGCGCCUGAAGAGGAGCCUGCGGCAGAUAGCUAGUUGGUGAGGUAAUGGCUCACCAAGGCUUCGAUCUGUAGCUGGUCUGAGAGGACGGCCAGCCACACUGGCACUGACACACGGGCCAGACUCCUACGGGAGGCAGCAGUGGGGAA
rnacentral:rRNA from 1 species